AUCUCUUCUCCUAAGGGUGGUCACUUGAUCCCACCAAACAAGUACAUAAUCUGUGAACUCGACUGCUGCUAGCUUUACUUUCUUCGCUUCACUAUAGUUGUGACAGAAAAAGAUCAACUCUACCUUCCAUUCUCAUCUGAGGUAGGUCUUUACAUCAUUCCUUCCUCUGAACGAGGGUAUCUGUAUCUUAAUGGAUCUGAUGUCAUCAACUUCCCUCUGAACUUCUCUUCUAUUGACUUCACUAUUGUCACCAUGGGACUCAUCAUCAUCUCGAUAGUGUCGGCAUCUAGGAUGACUAUAGUUUGUUCCUCCAUCUCUCUCAUCCAUCCUUGUUGUUAUAUCUUCAAUGGUUAAACUCAAUUUAU
rnacentral:lncRNA from 1 species